rnacentral:rRNA from 1 species
AACGAACGCUGGCGGCAUGCCUAACACAUGCAAGUCGAACGAACCCUUCGGGGUUAGUGGCGCACGGGUGCGUAACGCGUGGGGAUCUGCCCUUUGCUUCGGAAUAACAGUUAGAAAUGACUGCUAAUACCGGAUGAUGUCGCAAGACCAAAGAUUUAUCGGCAAAGGAUGAACCCGCGUAGGAUUAGCUAGUUGGUGAGGUAAAGGCUCACCAAGGCGACGAUCCUUAGCUGGUCUGAGAGGAUGAUCAGCCACACUGGGACUGAGACACGGCCCAGACUCCUACGGGAGGCAGCAGUGGGGAAUAUUGGACAAUGGGCGAAAGCCUGAUCCAGCAAUGCCGCGUGAGUGAUGAAGGCCCUAGGGUUGUAAAGCUCUUUUACCAGGGAUGAUAAUGACAGUACCUGGAGAAUAAGCUCCGGUUAACUUCGUGCCAGCCGCCGCGGUAA